GACCAAGAAAACCUAGUUGAACCCCUGCAACUCCUCCCCAAAAAUCCCACACAAACCCUAGGGUAUUCCGGGUGUUACGAUACGAUUCUAGUGUUGAAAAGUUCAGACAGCUUGCUAGUUUCUCUUUCUCCUUCUUGUAGCCGUGUUGAGGAACUUAUUUUUGAUGAAAAGGGACCAGGUUUCGUGGGUUAUACUCAGUACAAGGUAAUUUUAUGCUUCUCUUUCCAUUAUCUAUGCGUUUGCGAGUUGCAACUCGAUCGUAAAGAAUAGACCUAGCUAGUUUCGAAAGAAUAGUAUGUUGUUUGUUCUUGUGUAAUGGUUGGCUGGUUGUAAACUUAUUUUUAAGUUGAAUUCAUGGAUGGUUUAUUGGAUAAUAGGUAUAAUGAUGUACGUUUGGUUGUAUUUCCCAAUUUGAAAGAAAAGACAAGUCGAAACGUGUUUAAGUAAACUGAAAAAUUAUUUUUGAGUUGAUGAACUUGUGGGAAUAUUUUUGGGCUGUUUUGUGUUGGUAUUGGGUUGUCUCUUUUACUACUAUUUUUAUGGAGUUGAGAGGAGGAAGGUUGUGGAGAAAUACCACAUAAUGGCAAGGCUGUUUGUUGGUCGUUCGUCGUAACAUUUUCGGGUUGGUUGACACUAUUAUGGUUGUCGUAUUGUGUAUGAAGUGAUCGGGGUAUGUUGGGCUGUUUGUGAUUGUUUUGACUAGUGUGAAGUCAUAUAUAUAGGGGAGGUUCUGUCCGUUUCAUUGUAAAAUAGGUUGUGAUCGAUACAUAAUAGUUACGACGCUUAAACGAUAACGAGAGUGUCAUUUAUCUUAUUGUAGACUAAGGAGCCGUGAAAUUGUAUAGCUUGAGGUUUGGAAGAAUAUACAAG
rnacentral:lncRNA from 1 species